rnacentral:rRNA from 5 species
GUUGGGUAGGGGAGCGUUCUGUAAGCCUGUGAAGGUGGCCUGUGAGGGUUGCUGGAGGUAUCAGAAGUGCGAAUGCUGACAUAAGUAACGAUAAAGCGGGUGAAAAGCCCGCUCGCCGGAAGACCAAGGGUUCCUGUCCAACGUUAAUCGGGGCAGGGUGAGUCGACCCCUAAGGCGAGGCCGAAAGGCGUAGUCGAUGGGAAACGGGUUAAUAUUCCCGUACUUGGUGUUACUGCGAAGGGGGGACGGAGAAGGCUAUGUUGGCCGGGCGACGGUUGUCCCGGUUUAAGCGUGUAGGUGUGUGUUCCAGGUAAAUCCGGUUCACUUUAACACUGAGGCGUGAUGACGAGGCACUACGGUGCUGAAGCAACAAAUGCCCUGCUUCCAGGAAAAGCCUCUAAGCAUCAGGUAACAUCAAAUCGUACCCCAAACCGACACAGGUGGUCAGGUAGAGAAUACCAAGGCGCUUGAGAGAACUCGGGUGAAGGAACUAGGCAAAAUGGUGCCGUAACUUCGGGAGAAGGCACGCUGACACGUAGGUGAAGUGAUUUACUCAUGGAGCUGAAGUCAGUCGAAGAUACCAGCUGGCUGCAACUGUUUAUUAAAAACACAGCACUGUGCAAACACGAAAGUGGACGUAUACGGUGUGACGCCUGCCCGGUGCCGGAAGGUUAAUUGAUGGGGUCAGCGCAAGCGAAGCUCCUGAUCGAAGCCCCGGUAAACGGCGGCCGUAACUAUAACGGUCCUAAGGUAGCGAAAUUCCUUGUCGGGUAAGUUCCGACCUGCACGAAUGGCGUAAUGAUGGCCAGGCUGUCUCCACCCGAGACUCAGUGAAAUUGAACUCGCUGUGAAGAUGCAGUGUACCCGCGGCAAGACGGAAAGACCCCGUGAACCUUUACUAUAGCUUGACACUGAACAUUGAGCCUUGAUGUGUAGGAUAGGUGGGAGGCUUUGAAGUGUGGACGCCAGUCUGCAUGGAGCCGACCUUGAAAUACCACCCUUUAAUGUUUGAUGUUCUAACGUGGACCCGUAAUCCGGGUUGCGGACAGUGUCUGGUGGGUAGUUUGACUGGGGCGGUCUCCUCCUAAAGAGUAACGGAGGAGCACGAAGGUUGGCUAAUCCUGGUCGGACAUCAGGAGGUUAGUGCAAUGGCAUAAGCCAGCUUGACUGCGAGCGUGACGGCGCGAGCAGGUGCGAAAGCAGGUCAUAGUGAUCCGGUGGUUCUGAAUGGAAGGGCCAUCGCUCAACGGAUAAAAGGUACUCCGGGGAUAACAGGCUGAUACCGCCCAAGAGUUCAUAUCGACGGCGGUGUUUGGCACCUCGAUGUCGGCUCAUCACAUCCUGGGGCUGAAGUAGGUCCCAAGGGUAUGGCUGUUCGCCAUUUAAAGUGGUACGCGAGCUGGGUUUAGAACGUCGUGAGACAGUUCGGUCCCUAUCUGCCGUGGGCGCUGGAGAACUGAGGGGGGCUGCUCCUAGUACGAGAGGACCGGAGUGGACGCAUCACUGGUGUUCGGGUUGUCAUGCCAAUGGCACUGCCCGGUAGCUAAAUGCGGAAGAGAUAAGUGCUGAAAGCAUCUAAGCACGAAACUUGCCCCGAGAUGAGUUCUCCCUGAGACUU